GGUUAAGCGACUAAGCGUACACGGUGGAUGCCCUGGCAGUCAGAGGCGAUGAAGGACGUGCUAAUCUGCGAAAAGCGUCGGUAAGGUGAUAUGAACCGUUACAGCCGGCGAUGUCCGAAUGGGGAAACCCAGUGCAAUUCGUUGCACUAUCGUUAACUGAAUACAUAGGUUAACGAGGCGAACCGGGGGAACUGAAACAUCUAAGUACCCCGAGGAAAAGAAAUCAACCGAGAUUCCCCCAGUAGCGGCGAGCGAACGGGGAGCAGCCCAGAGUCUGAAUCAGCUUGUGUGUUAGUGGAACGGUCUGGAAAGUCCGACGGUACAGGGUGAUAGUCCCGUACACCAAAAUGCACAGGCUGUGAACUCGAAGAGUAGGGCGGGACACGUGGUAUCCUGUCUGAAUAUGGGGGGACCAUCCUCCAAGGCUAAAUACUCCUGACUGACCGAUAGUGAACCAGUACCGUGAGGGAAAGGCGAAAAGAACCCCGGCGAGGGGAGUGAAAAAGAACCUGAAACCGUGUACGUACAAGCAGUGGGAGCACCUUCGGGUGUGACUGCGUACCUUUUGUAUAAUGGGUCAGCGACUUAUAUUCUGUAGCAAGGUUAACCGUAUAGGGGAGCCGCAGGGAAACCGAGUCUUAACUGGGCGUUAAGUUGCAGGGUAUAGACCCGAAACCCGGUGAUCUAGCCAUGGGCAGGUUGAAGGUUGGGUAACACUAACUGGAGGACCGAACCGACUAAUGUUGAAAAAUUAGCGGAUGACUUGUGGCUGGGGGUGAAAGGCCAAUCAAACCGGGAGAUAGCUGGUUCUCCCCGAAAGCUAUUUAGGUAGCGCCUCGUGAAUUCAUCUUCGGGGGUAGAGCACUGUUUCGGCUAGGGGGUCAUCCCGACUUACCAACCCGAUGCAAACUACGAAUACCGAAGAAUGUUAUCACGGGAGACACACGGCGGGUGCUAACGUCCGUCGUGAAGAGGGAAACAACCCAGACCGCCAGCUAAGGUCCCAAAGUCAUGGUUAAGUGGGAAACGAUGUGGGAAGGCACAGACAGCCAGGAUGUUGGCUUAGAAGCAGCCAUCAUUUAAAGAAAGCGUAAUAGCUCACUGGUCGAGUCGGCCUGCGCGGAAGAUGUAACGGGGCUAAACCAUGCACCGAAGCUGCGGCAGCGACACUAUGUGUUGUUGGGUAGGGGAGCGUUCUGUAAGCCUGCGAAGGUGUGCUGUGAGGCAUGCUGGAGGUAUCAGAAGUGCGAAUGCUGACAUAAGUAACGAUAAAGCGGGUGAAAAGCCCGCUCGCCGGAAGACCAAGGGUUCCUGUCCAACGUUAAUCGGGGCAGGGUGAGUCGACCCCUAAGGCGAGGCCGAAAGGCGUAGUCGAUGGGAAACAGGUUAAUAUUCCUGUACUUGGUGUUACUGCGAAGGGGGGACGGAGAAGGCUAUGUUAGCCGGGCGACGGUUGUCCCGGUUUAAGCAUGUAGGCUGGUUAUCCAGGCAAAUCCGGAUAAUCAAGGCUGAGGUGUGAUGACGAGGCACUACGGUGCUGAAGUAACAAAUGCCCUGCUUCCAGGAAAAGCCUCUAAGCAUCAGGUAACAUCAAAUCGUACCCCAAACCGACACAGGUGGUCAGGUAGAGAAUACCAAGGCGCUUGAGAGAACUCGGGUGAAGGAACUAGGCAAAAUGGUGCCGUAACUUCGGGAGAAGGCACGCUGGUGUGUAGGUGAAGUCCCUGCGGAUGGAGCUGAGACCAGUCGAAGAUACCAGCUGGCUGCAACUGUUUAUUAAAAACACAGCACUGUGCAAACACGAAAGUGGACGUAUACGGUGUGACGCCUGCCCGGUGCCGGAAGGUUAAUUGAUGGGGUUAUCCGUAAGGAGAAGCUCUUGAUCGAAGCCCCGGUAAACGGCGGCCGUAACUAUAACGGUCCUAAGGUAGCGAAAUUCCUUGUCGGGUAAGUUCCGACCUGCACGAAUGGCGUAAUGAUGGCCAGGCUGUCUCCACCCGAGACUCAGUGAAAUUGAACUCGCUGUGAAGAUGCAGUGUACCCGCGGCAAGACGGAAAGACCCCGUGAACCUUUACUAUAGCUUGACACUGAACAUUGAGCCUUGAUGUGUAGGAUAGGUGGGAGGCUUUGAAGCGUGGACGCCAGUCUGCGUGGAGCCAACCUUGAAAUACCACCCUUUAAUGUUUGAUGUUCUAACGUUGGCCCCUGACCGGGGUUGCGGACAGUGUCUGGUGGGUAGUUUGACUGGGGCGGUCUCCUCCCAAAGCGUAACGGAGGAGCACGAAGGUUAGCUAAUCCUGGUCGGACAUCAGGAGGUUAGUGCAAUGGCAUAAGCUAGCUUGACUGCGAGCGUGACGGCGCGAGCAGGUGCGAAAGCAGGUCAUAGUGAUCCGGUGGUUCUGAAUGGAAGGGCCAUCGCUCAACGGAUAAAAGGUACUCCGGGGAUAACAGGCUGAUACCGCCCAAGAGUUCAUAUCGACGGCGGUGUUUGGCACCUCGAUGUCGGCUCAUCACAUCCUGGGGCUGAAGUAGGUCCCAAGGGUAUGGCUGUUCGCCAUUUAAAGUGGUACGCGAGCUGGGUUUAGAACGUCGUGAGACAGUUCGGUCCCUAUCUGCCGUGGGCGCUGGAGAAUUGAGGGGGGCUGCUCCUAGUACGAGAGGACCGGAGUGGACGCAUCACUGGUGUUCGGGUUGUCAUGCCAAUGGCACUGCCCGGUAGCUAAAUGCGGAAGAGAUAAGUGCUGAAAGCAUCUAAGCACGAAACUUGCCCCGAGAUGAGUUCUCCCUGAGACUUUAAGUCUCCUGAAGGAACGUUAAAGACGAUGACGUUGAUAGGCCGGGUGUGUAAGCGCAGCGAUGCGUUGAGCUAACCGGUACUAAUGAACCGUGAGGCUUAACCUU
rnacentral:rRNA from 1 species